rnacentral:piRNA from 1 species
UACUUGGUGGCAGGAGAGAGUGCAGAGGAA